rnacentral:pre_miRNA from 1 species
GGGAGCGCAGGAUCCUGGGCUGUGUCCCCCGGCACCCUGGGACCCCGGGCCUGUGCUGCUGGAAUCGUGCCCCCGGGUGUGGCUCCC